AGAAUUUUUAAACUCUUUUAUAGAAAAAACUGAUGAUAAUAAAAAAAACAUGAAUAUAGAAAAUGUAUUUAAUUUAAACGUGAAACCAAAUUUAAAUUUUCCAGAAAAUCAGCCCAAUAAAAAAAAAACAGUUAAUGUUACAUGUACAGGUGCUCUUUCUGAUGAUACUGUAUCAAAUCAUUCGCAUAAUAAUAGUAACAAUAGUAAUACUAAUAAUAGUAACAAUAGUAAUACUAAUAAUAGUAACAUUAGUUAUACUAAUAAUAGUAACAUUGGUAAUACUAAUAAUAGUAACAUUGGUAAUACUAAUAAUAGUAACAAUAGUAAUACUAAUAAUAGUAACAUUGGUAAUACUAAUAAUAGUAACAAUAGUAAUACUAAUAAUAGUAACAUUAGUUAUACUAAUAAUAGUAACAUUAGUAAUACUAAUAAUAGUAACAUUGGUAAUACUAAUAAUAGUAAAAAUAGUUAUAGAAGUUAUAAUAAUAAUCACAAUAGUUAUAAUAACAGUUCUAACUAUGUAAGGAUGCAAAAUAAGGACAAUGUUUAUGACACAUAUAAUAGCAUAACUAAUGUACCAAAAAUUGUUUACAAUACACCUAAACCAUACCAACACAUUGUAGAAGUGAAAUCAACAAAUGUAACACAUGACUUUCAACCAGAAAAGAAUAAAGAUAUAUUAGAUAAUAAUAUAAAAUCUAUUUUAAAACAACUUAAAGAUAAAUUUUCUAAUAAUAAAAUAUAUAAACAAAAAAAUGAUAAACAACAUGAAAACACACAAAAACAAAGUCAAAAUUUAAAUGGAAUAAACAUACAUAAUAUAGAUGAAGAAAAAAACGAAAAAAUAAAACAUAAUCAUUCACUUAAUAAAAACGCAAUUCUAAUAAAUAAUGAAAAUUUGUGUCAUUAUGUUGAUGUCAAAAAGACGAUAAUAAACAAUUAUAAUAAUAAACAAAGCGAUAUAAAAAUAUCUGAAUUAUCAACUAACAUGCAACUAUAUAAAAAAUUAGUUUCAAGCGACGAAAUUAAAGAUUUUGUUUUAGAAAAUACUUACAAAAAUGAUGAUACAACAUAUAUAAAAGAUAAAGACAUAUCACGUUACGCAAGUGGUAUUAUAUCACAUGACGAAUUAAACAAUGUAAACAAAUCAUUAACAUAUAAUAGUGGUUAUAAAAAUGCAACAGAUGAAAAUGUAACAAAAAUUGCUAUAAUAAACGACCAAACAACAGAGACAAAUGUACAAGAUGGAAAAAAUGAAGAACAUGAAAAAAAUGAACAAGAUGGAAAAAAUGAACAAGAUGGAGAAAAUGUACAAGAUGGAAAAAAUGAGCAAGAUGAAGAAAAUGUACAAGAUGAUACAAGUUUCCAUGAUAACAAAUGUAUUGCACAAAAUAAUAUGAACAUAAAUAAAAAAGAAAACAUAAUGUUAAACAUAAUACCCGAUAUUAUACUGAAUAAUGAUGAAUUCGAAAAUACUAGCAAUAAUAUUAAAACAGAAGGUGAUAUAAACGUAACAAACAACGAUGUUCAUAAUGAAAUAAAAAAAAAUAAUACUAAUGAUAUUGUUCCUCAUGCUAAAAAUCAGUCUAACGAACACUG
ensembl:lncRNA